CCCACCGCUUCACCUCAAAAAAAAAAAAAAUCCCACCGGCCCUCACAUUUCUCCCCGUCGUUCCCCAUUCUUCCUUGGUCGUCGCCAGCUCCCUCUCCCCGCCUCCUCGGGCCACCCCUCCCCUUCGUACCCACCGCCAGCAAGAGGUUUGCAACCCCUGCUCUUCCCUGCCUUUUCGUCGAAUAUCCGGCCGCCCAAGUGGCCGAGGAGGUCCCCGAGCUCGGCAUGCACGGGAGCAUCCCAGCGCUAGGCUCCGUCGGAGGUGCGAGACUUCCACGCCCCUGCUCUUCCCCGUCCCUCUUCGAAUCCGCUCGCCGAAGUGCCGAAGGAUGCGCUCGAGCUCAGCAUGCUCACGGGCGACCCAGCGCGGAUGCCCGCAACAAGACAACAAGGAGCGGGCGUGGGUGCGCAAAAAUAUAUGGGCACAGUUCGAUGCCUCCACUGGCGUGCCUCUGUUUGAUGUGCUAUUCAAGAUCCCUGUACAAUUGUGUUAUUCAAGAUACAAUGGCACUCGAUGAUGCUUGCUAAGAAGGUCUGCAAUAUGCACUGGACUGUUGCUUGCCAGAUGACUGGAAGAUGGAUAAAUUUGCUUGCAAGGCUCUUGAUGAUAUAUCCACUUUCAUCAAAUGCUUAAGGGUAUGGUCAAUUGGAGAAGACAUUACUAUGACUACAAAGAUCUGUUUUUUUAGGUAUGCACAUAUAAGAUGGAUUUCUUCUGAACCGAUUGGAAGCAUACGGCAACAUGCACAUACACAAGCGCUAGCCUAAGCAUGCAGGUAGAUAUUGUAGACGUCUUCAGGUGCAAGGAUGCAAUAUUCAUGAUCGAGCGCAACGUCGGUGGAUCUGUAUCUUUGGUUUCAGAAUUUUGAAAGAAAGGGGAUAUGGAAAACAAUAAGAGGGGAGCUCUACCUCCAGCAGCACUUUCCCGGUCGUCGGCGUCGUGCUUCCAGCUACGGCCGCUGCAGAAGAUGAC